UACGAAGGGUGCAAGCGUUACUCGGAAUUACUGGGCGUAAAGCGUGCGUAGGUGGUUUGUUAAGUCUGCUGUGAAAGCCCCGGGCUCAACCUGGGAAUGGCAGUGGAUACUGGCAAGCUAGAGUGCGGUAGAGGGUAGUGGAAUUCCCGGUGUAGCGGUGAAAUGCGUAGAGAUCGGGAGGAACACCAGUGGCGAAGGCGGCUACCUGGACCAGCACUGACACUCAGGCACGAAAGCGUGGGGAGCAACAGG
rnacentral:rRNA from 1 species